GACACGACUCUCGGCAAUGGAUCUUUUGGUUCUCACAUCGAUGAAGAGCGCAUCGAAAUGCGAUACGUGGUGCGAAUUGCAGAAUCCCGCGAAC
rnacentral:rRNA from 1 species